AGUGGCGAACGGGUGAGUAACACGUGAGUAACCUGCCCCUUACUUUCCUGGAUAACUGCUCGAAAGGGUAGCUAAUACGGGAUAUUCUGACUAGCCUGCAUGGGUUGGUUUGGAAAGGUUGUUUUUCUGGUAAGGGAUGGGCUCGCGGCCUAUCAGCUUGUUGGUGGGGUGAUGGCCUACCAAGGCUUUGACGGGUAGCCGGCCUGAGAGGGUGGACGGUCACACUGGGACUGAGACACGGCCCAGACUCC
rnacentral:rRNA from 1 species